AUGAAUUGUCAGAAGCAGAACUGGCAUGUUUGCUUGAAGUGUUUAUCAUCACCGCCAUGUACAAUCAAUAUCAAACCAAGAACAGUAAAAAAAGGAAGCAUUUGGUAUUUACAGUGGCUCAUAUUAAGAAAUUCAACCAUGUUUUCCCUUGUACUUCAUGAGUUAAUCAGAAGCGCGGGUAAGAUUCUAAUCACUGCCACCAAAAAACCACCCAAGAUCCGAAGCAAAAACAGAUGUGAUGUGAAUGUAUCCGUUACUCUGACACAGGCUGCUCAUCCACGCGUAGUGUCGCGGCCUGCAACACUGAACGGCGGCGUGGAUCUAGCACAGCAUUGGGGCUUUCCUUCAUCACAGUGGACCGAGGUCCGUCCGACAAGCCCGGGGUUAGCAUCGUGCAGAACCAAGAAAAUCACUCAUCGGCGACAAGAGAAAAACAAGCAAAACGAAGGGAGAGAGAACAAAAAAAGAAUUGUACGCAAGCAACAAUCAUAUUGCCUACUGGAAGCCAUGGCAAUUGAAACGAUUUCUUGA
rnacentral:rRNA from 1 species